AACGAACGCUGGCGGCAUGCCUAACACAUGCAAGUCGAACGAGACCUUCGUUUCUUUUGUCGCUCGUGUGCUUAACUCGUGGUAACCUUCCCUUUGUUUCGCAAUAACUCCCCUUAUUUUGUGCUUAUACCGGUUAUUCUCUUCGGUCCAAUGAUUUAUCGCCUUUGUAUGGGCCCGCGUUGGAUUAGCUUGUUGGUAGGGUAAAUGCCUACAAAUGCGAGGAUCCAUAUCUGGUCUGAGAGGAUGAUCAGCCACAAUGGGACUGAGACACGGCACAGAAUGGUACGGGAGGCAGCAGUGGGGAAUAUUGGAAAAUGGGCGAAAGCAUGAUGCAGCAAUGCGGGGUGAGUGAGGAAGGCCUUAGGGAAGAAAAGGAGUAUUACACGGGAAGAUAAUGACAGUAACGGGAGAAGAAGCACCGGCUAACUCCGUG
rnacentral:rRNA from 1 species